CUGACUUUCAUGUACUACAUGUCAGUCAACGGUGACAUCCCAGAACACUGACUUGGCUGGAUGUGAUUCUGCUCAAACAUUGAAGAAUGCGAGACCUCGCGGCUCAGGUAACGAGCAGCCUGCUGCAGUUUCCCGAGGUGACCAUUCAGGCUCUUGGGGAAGAUGAGCUCACCCGAGGGUCUGUGCUGCGUGGGCGGUUUUCCAGAGGGAGAGAUGGGCUGGCCUGGCUGGCGUGUGGCCCUCAGCUGGAGGUCGUGAGCGCUGUGACGGGAGAGCGGCUCUCUGCACACCGUUUCAGUGGAGCCCGUGAGCAGCCUCCCACCAUCCGCGUGGUGAAGGAGGUUUCCUGGCAGACGGGAACGGGGCUGCUGGUUGG